GGCGCUAUAGUGUAGUGGCUAUCACAACGGAUUCUGACUGUUUGCUGAUUUCCGUUAACCCAGGUUCGAACCCUGGUAGCGCCU